rnacentral:rRNA from 1 species
AUUGAACGCUGGCGGCAGGCCUAACACAUGCAAGUCGAGCGGCAGCGGGAAAGUAGCUUGCUACUUUUGCCGGCGAGCGGCGGACGGGUGAGUAAUGCCUGGGAAAUUGCCCAGUCGAGGGGGAUAACAGUUGGAAACGACUGCUAAUACCGCAUACGCCCUACGGGGGAAAGCAGGGGACCUUCGGGCCUUGCGCGAUUGGAUAUGCCCAGGUGGGAUUAGCUAGUUGGUGAGGUAAUGGCUCACCAAGGCGACGAUCCCUAGCUGGUCUGAGAGGAUGAACAGCCACACUGGAACUGAGACGCGGUCCAGACUCCUACGGGAGGCAGCAGUGGGGAAUAUUGCACAAUGGGGGAAACCCUGAUGCAGCCAUGCUGCGUGUGUGAAGAAGGCCUUCGGGUUGUAAAGCACUUUCAGCGAGGAGGAAAGGUUGAUGCCUAAUACGUAUCAACUGUGACGUUACUCGCAGAAGAAGCACCGGCUAACUCCGUGCCAGCCGCCGCAGUAA